rnacentral:lncRNA from 1 species
AGUAGGUUAAUUUUCCUUUUUUUUCAACGAACACUAAUUAUAGAUUGAUCCAUUUGUUCAUUUUUUCUCUAGCGAUAAACGUUUUAGGUGGGUCCCGUAUAUUUUUUUCAUUUUUUAUUUUCUUUGUUUUAUGAUUUUUAAUGGGUUCCAACAUUAAUAUCAGAAUAUUCAUUCGAUGGCAUAUAAUUGUAAUUAUAGUGUCAAACUAUGGGCAAUAUCCUAAGAGGUAUUUUGGUUUAAUAGUAUAGAUGCAUCAUCUUUUACACACUAAAGAGUUUUAAAGCUACUAUAAAUUAAUAAUAAUUCAGUAGUAUCUAUCAAUAAAAGGGAAACUUUUUUAAAUAACCUAAAAUUUUUAUGGUCAAAUACAAAAUU